AAAAAAAGUCAAUUCAGAGCUAAUGAACAAUAGACUGGCUGUAUGCAGAUCUGUAGAUGUGUAGCUGAUUAACACAGUUAAGGAUAAAUAAACAAUUAAUGAAGGCCAGUGUAUUUCUGUUUAAAUAAACACUUCAUUAAUAUCAGUGAAAUUUGCAUGCUAAAAUGCCCUGUGAUUAAAAAGUAGUCUGAUGAUAACGCAUAUAGAAUUAUAUGUUCCUCUGAAAAGCAAUUACUGUAGCUUAUAAAGAUAAUACAUUGUAUUAUCUUGUAUAAAAUUGUACAUAAUAAUUAAAGUAUCUGUGGCUUCUCGUGUCCAUGUUGUCUUUUUAACAGGAAAUUCAAAAAAAAAACCAGAGCUAUUUGUGUAUAACAUAUUCAUCUCCAAUUUAAUAAUAAUAAUAAAAAACAAAAGCAGCUCUUUUUACCAAAAUAACAUGGAAAUGCUGAUUUCACCAUGUGAAGAAUUUUCCCAGGCCACAACACAUUUAUGUUAUACAGUAAUCCAAUGAAAAUGCGAACGAUACAGUGUGAAAUGCAGUGAAAAAAUAUAGGAUGCGAGCAGGAGUCUUAACUGUGUGUAUAUUCAGUAUCCUUUAGUAUGCAAGUGUGAGUGGCUGCAUGUUGGAGUAGUGAGCGUGUCGAAAGGUAUGGGUAUGUCAAAAGUUAUGGGCGUGUCGAAAGGUAUGGGUGUGUCAAAAGUUAUGGGUGUGACAAAAGGUAUGGGUGUGUCAAAAGUUAUGGGUGUGACAAAAGGUAUGGGUGUGUCAAAAGUUAUGGGCGUGUCAAAAAGUCUUUUCAACUGGUCGAAAGCUGUAAGCUUAAGGCUGUAAGCUUAAAUGCUAUUGGCCAACAUGUUUAUUAACAGGAAGUGACAAAGUCUGAUGUAGACAAUGGGUGUGUACCUUGUACUCACAAUCCCUAAGCUUAUUUCCCUUCUUUGACUGUAAAAAUAGCAAUAAUGACAAUAAGAAUUUUAAAUAAAAAUGUAUCUUUGGAACGUUUUUAUGUUAACUGAGACGGCAUGGCCGCGGGUUUCAUCACCAGCACACGUUUGUUUUGGUCUUGGUGUACCAGCAGUUAAUUCGAGGCACUGUUUAUGAGGAUCAUAAAUAAUCAAUAACAAAUGACAUUUAUUGUUUGAAGGAUACUAAUAUCUCUUAAAGAAGACAAAGUUCAUAAGUUCGAAUUUUGCUUUCUUGUCUAUUACUUGUAUUGACUGCACAUAAUAGCAAAAACAUCUGUAUUAAAAGUGGGAAUUUCUACUAUUUAACUUCUAAUACAGCUAUGAUUUACAACUGUAUGCUUCUCUGUAAUUUCACUGCAAGUACAUGCAAACUAAAAAUGUGACAGUUUGUCUGAGAAGUAAUAAAGCAAUGGAAAUAUUGGAAGCGUUGAUCAUAAAACAUUGCAACAUUCAGCAUGGAAUUAUUAAAAGGUAGACUGCUGUUUCUAGGUGACUAAGUACUAUUUAGUAACCUUCUAUUAAUUGGCAUUAAGCAAUUUAGCAAACACACACAAUUUUAACCAAUAAAACAUUUAUUAAAUUAUCAAUGGCGGUAGUGUGGGCCAUGUGUUCACAAGUCAUUUUGAACAAUUUUAGACAAACAUUCACACACACUCACUGACAUUCACACUGAAGUAGCAGUCCAUAGAACAUAAGCCAUCAAAUUCUAUCUCUGAAUAAAAUGCUGUGAACCUGCCUUUUUUCCGUGGCCACAGUAUCCCACAGUGCUUUUGUAGAUGCAUUCACAUCCAGAACACUUGGUGGGCUUGAACUCUACUCUGUAUUCUUGCCUUACUUCUGGGCUGACAGACUUCCAGUCAACGAUACCUACAAACAAAAAAUUUCACAUGGUCUGAAAACAUCGGUUGCACAAAACGGACAAUGAUACAAAUUUUCAGCUUUGAACGCUUCGAUGGAAAUACAAUCCGUGCUUCUUCCCACUGUAAUGUGUGUCUGCCAAAAAAAUUAUAAAAAUUCUAAAGCAGCAGAUGUAAUGCAAAUAAAGUAAUAAAUUAAUUAUGUUUGCAUUUUAACCAGCUAUUGUAUGUUUGCAUUUUAACCAGCUAUUUGCUAUUUUAACCAGCUUUUACCUCCAUCUUCUUCCAGUCAAAAGCAAAUAACGUAUCUAUAUGGUUAUUGCUGAUUGGCCAAUGCAGUUCCAAGCAAGAAGAUAUGUCCAUACCUUUAGACACACCCCUACCUUUAGAUAUACCCAUUUUCUCUGACCUGCAGCUAUCCCUAUCGCUCAGUAUGGGGUUUUCUGUAAAGAGCAGAAGGUGGUAUUUGGGUUAAUUUUUUACUGCAGCUAAAUGCCAUUUACUGUACAAGCUUCCCUGUUCAAUAAUAAGGUCACUUCACUACACACUUCAACAUCCAGGAAUGCUGACUUUCCACUUCUACCCAUAGAACUUUAAUAGCACUCUAAUAUGUAAGUAUGCUAACUCUGCUCUGAAAAGGUGAACGUAUUAUUGUAUGAAUAUAAUGAUGAUGAUGGCAUCAUUACAAAUUUAAUCGUCUCUUCUGAGACAUAUAGCCCAAUAAUGUCCGAACCAUUAACAGCCCAUUAGCAGAGCCCAAAUUGUUAACAUUCUCCUUCAUUAAAGACAUGUCUUUUCCUAAUAAUGGACAAUAAGUCAUGGUGCACAUACACGUGGUAGGAAUGGAUUUCAAACUCAAUUUGGUCUAUAAAACAAUCGAUCUUUCUGUGUCUGUAAUCAAAUUAUUUCCUCUCAAAGGUCACUGGAUUCAGUAAUAUCUGCCAUGGCUGCUUGAUGGUGAGAAACCUCAUAAAAGGCCUCUGGUGUGCAGCAAAUCACAUUAUGGGUUGGGGGAAGUUGAACUAAAACCAGCUAUUGACUUGUAGCUUGUGUGGUGAAAUGAAAAAAUAAUGUUGAAGUAGUAAAAGGACCCACACACCUACAUGAGCACUUCAUCCAGCUACAGACACUAUUAAAAGCGCAAAAAAAAAACCCCAGUAAAGUAACACAAGGAAAAGCCAAAAAGAUAUGAAACAAUUCAUCCUGGAACAGCCCGAAAUACCAAAUGAGGAUUGAGGCACGUUUAAUAAAAAUGAUAUGCUAACAUCAAUCAGUGAACAAUAAAAGCAAUGUUCCAUCUACAAAUGAUUUUGGCAUCUUUAAGGAUUUCACAGACCAAUAAUUCAUAGCUAAUAUUUCAUCCAUCAAUCCAUGUUCACAAAAAGUCAUCCCUACCUCUUUAACCUGAAAAGACCGCGCUCACCUAGUCAUGCCUUGACAUAAGAGGAACACGAGGAAAUGAGGUACUGAAACUGCUAAUUCAAAAAAUUCACCAACCACCGCCACAUUAGUCUUUGAAUGCAUGGCAGAAAAAACUGCCUUUCUGUCAAGCGCAAAAAUGAAUUUCCUGAAUAGUGGCUUUUCACUGAUAUUUUCACAGUUGUUCAUAUUAACAUCAAGGCAGGGAGAAAAAGUUACAAAGUGUCAAGUAUUCCACACUCUUAGUCACACAGUUGUGCUUCCCAUUUUAACCAGAUUGAGUAUAACAGUGUACCAAUUUUGAAUUCGUCAAAAUGUCAAUAUUCAAUUUUAGUUUAAUGAUUGAUCACAGAGACUCUUAAUAAAUACUGCAUCAUCUUUAAUCGUAAAAGUUAACAUUAACCAUUAAAAGUGUUAUUAAAAGUGUUAAUAAUUUAUAAUGAUAAUGAGUCUUUAUUGGUCACAUUACAGCACAGUGAAAUUCUUUUCUUCGCAUGCCCCAGCAUGUCAGGAAGCUGGGGUCAGAGCGCAGGGUCAGCCAUGAUACAGUGCCCCUGGAGCAGAGAGGGUUAAGGGCCUUGCUCAAGGGCCCAACAGUGGCAGCUUGCAGUGCUGGGGCUUGAACCACCAACCUUCCGCUAAGUAACCCAGAGCCUUAACCAUCAAGCCACCCCUGUAUUUAUGAUUAAUAAAUGAUUUAUAACCACUGUAAUAGUAAUUUCAUUUUUAUAUUUGAGAUAAGGCAGGAGAUAUUCACAGGCACAACAGUAGCUGAAUGAGCUGAUUAGGAAAAGCACAUUUAUAGUGUUCUGAUUAUACAGUCGUUGUGUUCAAACAAUAUAAUAAGAAACACGAAUAAUUAAAAGCCAUUCACUUUAAGAAUGUCUAUACAGAUUACAUAUUCUGUAUAGUUAUUUGCAAGUGACCAGAAGAUUGAGAGUUCAAGUAAUAAAUGUAGAACAUUUUUAUAAAACAAUAUGGUUUACCUAUGCCAUCAUGAGUGAUUUUGAAAAUUCUAAAAAAAAAAAAAAAAAAUCAGAUUUUUUUAGGUUUAAUUCAGAAGCCAAGAAGAGAUGUUACAAAUCUACUGUGUAUUUUUUGAGAGCAAACAUGGGUGCAGCCAUGGACCUUGAGCCGUCCCCCUGUGCCACUGAGGAAAAUUAGACACACACACACACACACACACACACACACACAUACACAUACACACACAAAAUUACUGACGAAAGACAAAGUCAGAUUACUGAAUGUACAACUGACACCCAAUUUUAUAAAUCCACACUUUCAUUACUCUGGUAAAGAGGAAUUGGUGGGAACAUCAGUGAUUCAGUACUGGUGUGUGCUGCAGGAGCUGGUGAAGGGGUGUGGCUUACAGAAGCAUACAUUCACAAAUCACUUUAUUAGGACCAUUACACUAAUACCGAGUAGGGCUUUCCUUUGCUCUCAAAACAGCCCAAUUCUUCAUAGCAUGGAUUCCACAACAUGUUGGAAACAUUCCUUUGAGAUUCUGGUCCGUGUUGAUAUAAUUGCAUCACACAUAUUCCUGCAGAUUUUUCAGGUCCACUGCUGUUGUAAUCCUUCCGCCUCAAGGUUUGACAUGCUGCGCAGUCUGAGAUACUUUCCUACUCACCAAAAUAGUAGUGUAGCCUUUCUGUCAGUGCAAACCAGUUUGGCUAUUCUCCAUUGACCUCUCUUAUCAACAAGGGGUGUCCAUCAGCACAACUGCUGCUCACUGGAUGUUUUUUUCUUUAUUGCACCAUUAUGAGUAAACUCUUGAGACUGUUGUAUGUGAAAAUCCCAAGAAAUAAGCAGUUAUACUAGAUAGAAAUACUCUAAACGGCCCGUCUCGAACCAACAAUCAUGACACGGUCAAAAUCACUGAGAUCACAUUCGCAAACCCCCUCAUCCCAAACCCCCCCAUUCUGAUCUUUGAUGUGAACAUUGCCCGAAGCUGCUGACCUGUAUUGCAUGAUUUUAUGCAUUGCACUGCUGCCAGAAAAUUGGCUGAUUAGAUAGUUGCUUGAAUGAGAAGGUGAACAGGUGUUCCUAAUAAAGUGCUCUAUGAAUGUAUGAACAAUCACCUUUGUCACAAGGUAGCCAUUUUCUUUUUAUAUGACCACAAAAACACUGAAACCUCAUUAUGAUCUCAAACUAUAGCUGACAAAGUUCUGCUCUGAGGCACUGCAGCAUCAAAUGAAAUGACAUAUCAGAAGAAAUUGUGCACAUGUUUACCACUUUCAAGUGAAUUCAGGUGUAACAUUUCCAUUCAAGCUGAUGAUAAUUAAAUUCUUCUUUUUUUUCUCUUAUUGCUUCAAUGUGUCCAACUCUACACUGAUAUUCAUUAGUACACCAGAGCAUGAAAAAAAAAUCAUUUUCCUUUUAGCUUUAUGUUGUUCUGUAAAUUAAAGGUAGCUCUCCUUAUAACAGCAACAUAAGUGCCUGCUAAAGGCAACGAUUCAUAUUGAGUACAUUUAGAUUCCAUAGUGGAUUAAAAAUAAAUAAAUCGCAGAAAGCAUUCAUAAAUCAGUCCGGUAUUUGACAAGAACAUUAUGUACCUCACUCAUCUAUUAUCUGUUAUCAUCUCUCACACAGGGGAUUAGUAUCACUUUGAAACCAUUACUUUUGCACAUAUCUAAUGCAUCUUUAAAGGGCACUAAUAGUCUAUACACGGGUGAAGUAUUAUAUAGUAGUCUUUUCUCCUUUAUUUUCAGCUCAAAUGAUAUACCUGGCUUCCGUCCAUAGAGGUUUCACAUUUAAAACAAACACUUUAACACUAAAUGUCAUUGUAUUUGUAUAUAUAUAUAUAUAUAUAUAUAUAUAUAUAUAUA
ensembl:lncRNA